CAAGGAUAGUCACAGCAAUUUGCAGGCAGAAACAAUCAACUGAUCUGUGGUGCUUGCAAAGCUCUGUCCCUCUGCAAGUUCCAGUGAUCAUAACAAAUCCUGUUUUCAGCCCAGCCAUGGCUUUGCCUGCCCCACACCUCAUGCCAUGUAUUAAUAACCAGACCUUUGGACUGAAAGUUAUCCAUCACUGUUCUGGGUAUAUAAAGAACUUGGGGGGUUGUUCUGAUCUCCCCAUGGCUGGAGUAAGUAGGAAAGAUGGAAAGGGCAGUACAACAGAUGGGACCAGAGACAUCAUUCCUAAAGCAAGACUGGCAAUUCCCCAACCCUUUCUGCAAAGCUAUUGAAAAUAUUCUUCCUAUAGCCCAUCGUGCAGCCAUCACUCUGAUCAUAGCAUGGGAAUAUUACUCUUCUUAACCAAUGACCUCUGAACAUCUAGUAAGGUGAGCCUCCAUCAUGACUCAUUGUUUUUAAUAUUCAUAGGAAGUGAAACUAUAGUAUUGAUUAGCUAUUUUCAUCUUCUCUGCAUUAAUCAUGAAUGCAUUUGGAAUGGAUCAUAAAUGCAAUUCCCCCUAAUAUCAAACUUGGUGGUCCUGUGCCAAUGAGCAGGGUGGAAAAUGCAGCCACCCAUAUGUCCAAUAACUCCCUGGGCAUGGAAAAAUAUAUAUAGAGGCUCCCUCACACACAAAAAUGCUCUUCUGAUGAGGGAUGUGCAUGGUGCACAAAGCAUUCUGAUAGGAAUAGGAAACAGCUCAUCAAUAUUUCUAAUUUUGAUCUAAUUUUGUGUAUUUAAAAUGAGCGUAUUUGAAUUGAUCAUCAAUUCCCCCUAAUAUCAAACUGGGUGAACAUGUGACAAAUAGGGCAGUGAAUGGAAUGAUCUACAUCUCCAAAACAACAACAAAAACAACAACAACAACAACCCCUAGGCAUGGAGAAAAGGAAGGGCACUCCCCCCCACCUCUAAAAGAUCCUCUUCUGCUGAGUUGAGAAAGGGGUGUAGUUCAGUGAUAAAGCAUUUCCAGAUAGGGCUGGGGAAGACUCCUGUCUGAAAUCCUGGAGAGCUUUCCUUGUGUAGACGGUACUGAGCUAGAUUAACCAAUGGUCUGACUCAGCACAAGACAGUUAGCUUCCCAUGUUCCUUGUAGAUGUACAUGGUGCAUGAAGACAUCUAACAGGAAUACAGAAGGUUAGAAAUUGCUUGCUUGUUUAAAAGCAAUCUGAUAUUUUGUUUUUUUGCAACAUUUAUUUGUAACUAUUUAAAGACUGUUCUGCAGGAAAGCUUUGAAACUCAUUCUUGUGGUGGAGAGCAAAUUCAUUUCUGCUCUGCACAAGGUCCAGAUCAGGGAUUCUGGUUGCAGUGACUAACACACUUCGAGGUCUUAGUGAAUAGCUAAGUGAAUAUGUCAACCCAGUGUAUGGCAGCUAUGAAAAAGAAAAAUUCCAUGCUAGGGAACAUUAGGAAAGGAAUUGAAAAUACAACUGCCAGUAUCAUGGUGCCAUUGUACAAAUCUAUGGUGUGGCCUCGCUUGGAACUUUUCCAUGUUCUGAAUCUUAUGGAAUGUAAUUUCUUUAUAUUUUAAAUUAUUUGUUUUCUAUCUCUGGUAAUUCUUAUUCAUUUUGUAUGAUUUUUGUGUGUUUUCCCAUUGCAGAAGGGCAGUGGUCUUUUCAGCUGUGCACAUGCAUAAUCUCAGGCAAUUCUUCAAUUAGAUGUGCUUGGAUGAAUUGAUUUGAUGCUAAAUUACACUUUCUCAGGCUGAGAGAAAUUGAUAACCAUCUAUUAUGUCUGUGAAUUUCCAUCUAUACCAAUCUGUUUCUUUCCUUUCAAUUUUGUAUACAUUUUUUAAAGAACUCAGAUAAUAUUAUUCACUUGACUUUACAAGUGCCUUGUUUUCCACCUUGUUUAGUGUUCAAUGAAAAUAAAGGUAGAGCUAAACAUGGGUAAUCCCAUACAAUAACCAACUCAUUCUCUGAGUACCGGUCCUUAUGAGGCCUUAUGCAGUAGCAUCAUUCACAUACAGUGGCUGGCCAUAUGCUUCCAGGAAACCCACCCCCAGCAAGUCAUACAAGCAACAACCCCUUCCUAUUGUGGCCUUUCUCCACAACUACUGGUAUUCAGUGAUCUGCAGCCUGUCAACAUGGUGGUUCAAUCCAACAUCACAACUGGCAGCUGCUGAUGACCCAACCUCACUGAAUGUUAGGCAUGAUCAGAUGGUCCCAGCUUAGAUCAGAUACAUCCAGAAUGAUUCAGGGCUGUCAAAAAGGGGGAGCAUUAGGCAGCAAGGAGAGAGGAGAAGAAUGAGAAACAGAAUGCCUGUGUCUCCUUCCCCUUCUCCCGACCCAAUGUUUAAUAAGCAUACAAAACCUAAUAUUUUAGGUGUUUUCAAAUGUGCCAGAUCAUGACUGUAUCAGCCUGAGGUCAUCCCAUGUUGGAUCAGUGCCACUCAAAGCACUGAAUGAUUCCCCAAAUCAGGUUGGGGUGUGUGCACAGCCUGAGCAAGUACUAAGUUGCUCCUUCCUGUAUUAGUCAAGUUUAUCAUUUGGACCACAUCCCAUAUUCUUAAAAUCCAGUCUUCAAGUGUUAGAGCACUAAUUUUUUUUCCUAGUUAAUGCUGCAUGAGCAGAUGCUACUAGAUGUAUUUUAAUAUCCCUGUCAUCUAAGAAGACUAGAUCUUUUAUAAAACUGUAGAAUUAUAACUGGGGGCUCUGCUGGUGAGUCAUACUCUGUUAUACUCCCUAUUUCUCUUACAAUGGUUGCCCAUAAAGUUCUUAUUUUGUCUCACCCACACACCCAAACCCAAAUAAGCUGUAUAUUGUCAUACAUUGCUUUAUGGACCAUCCACUACACCUGUCAUGGGCCAAAUGAAGAUGUCACAGAGGGGAUGGUGGGAUCGUGAGGAGGAAUAGGAUAAGCUCAAGGAGUUAGAGCCUGAGCUGGAUACAGGAAGUGGCCUCUGUCUCUGGGAAGCAUCUGUCUCUGGGAAGGGAGACAGUAGUUUAGGAAAUAGAGGCAUAGAUCCAAGGGAGAGACAAAGCAGAGGGGGCUGAAAAUGUUCCACCCCCAUGAUGUUGAACACCCCUGGUUAGACACCUCCUACUGUGGAGCUGCCGCAGAUUCCUCCUUUAGGGAAGGAGACAUGUUAAACUGGAUUCUGAAAAGGCACCAGUGUUGCCUCCCUCUUCAAGGUUUAAGAAAGGGAGGGAAGGUAUUUCCAUCAGAAUUGUGGGAGGAGAAUAGAAGGUAUUCAUUUUCUUCUCCCUGAAAUCCCCCUUGUGCUUCUCAAGUGACUGGGAAAUAGCUAAGAGGGGUUAAUGUAGGGUUGAAUUGAAGAGGAAAAGGUUCCUUUGGAGGAAGGGUGGGAUAUAAGAAUAAAUGAAUGAUCUGUAUUUCGAGCUGUCCCUUCUGCCUGCUUCUUGGUGAGUGAGGGAGGUGGAUGUUUUGGGCCAUGUAAGAUUAGGCGGUAGGUCAGCAGCAACCUGGGAGCGCAGAUUGCACACUUCUGAAGAAGAAAUAGAAAAAAGGCAAGUUUCCUAGAGACUAUGCAUAGUGACUGGAGAAUGUGCAUAUUGCCCAAAGGAUGUACAACAUACAGCCGAGAUAUGGACAUUUAGCUUUUAGUUGAUUUUAAUUAUUUAUUAAAUAUUUUAAAUUGCUGUUGUUGUUUUUUACUGUUUUCACUGAUCAUUUUAUUGUUUUGUUCUUUUGUAAACCACUUUGAGGUUUGUUUGUUUGUUUGUUUUACAAUCAAGCAGUCUGUAUAUAAAUUUUAUGAAAUACAUAAAUUAAAAAAAUUCCUAAAGCCUGGUAGAGAUUAUGCAUAAUGGCCAGAGAAUGUACAAAAUUCAGCUGAGAUAAGCAAUUCUCCAAGCCUGCUGGGGAUUAUGUAUUGACUGGCAAAUUUGCAUAAUUCCCUGUUCAUGGAAGAAUUAUGUGUACAUUUUCCAUGAGGCCUGGUGAAUGUGCAUUAGGUAUGGUUAUUAUGCACAUUAACUACUCAGAUUACAUUCCCUUUCUGACACACACAAAUACACAUAUAUCCACUUAAAAAGGUUGUUUGUUUAAGGUUUUUAAUAGCCAUCAGAAAGAGGACAGAGACAGCAGUAUUAUGGAGUAGAACAAUCUUUGGAGUUCUAUCCCUUUUCAGGAUGGACUGUUUGUAUGAUUUUAAGAGGAAACCUCUCUUUCCCAAUUACUAUGGUUUCUAAAUGUCUACCACUGUAUAAUUUAGAGGAUUUAAAAAUGGUUUAAAAUGUAUCACAAAAGAUCUUCCUUGACAUUUUAAUGAGCAAUUUCUAAAUUAUGAUGAUGGUAAUAAAACUUUUUAAUGCCCCCUGGGAGAGAAUUAUGGUUACUUUCUUUCUUUACAAAAAAGAAAAUUGCUUCAAUACUGUUUUCUUGUGGAUUAUUUUAAAAAACCACAUUUGCCUCCAAAACUCUUUUGCAUGUGAGCAUAUUAAAAAUAUCAAGAGGAACAAUGCUGUCAAAAUAAGUUUAUUUCAGUGCAGUAGGAAAGGCAUUGCUUAGGUGUAAAAGAAGUUUUAAAAUAUGAAUUGUUCACAUUUUACAUUGCUUGUAUAGCCUUAAGAGCUGAAGUAGAGUCAGCGAUGGAGAAUUGGAGACAUCACUCUAAACCAGAGUGUAGACUAGGCUUCUUCACCCUCAGCUUGACCACAACUCCCAUAAUUCCUAACCAGGUUAGCCAAUGUAUAGGAAUGGUAGAAAUUGCAAUCCGACAACAUUUUAUCACUAACAUAGCAGCUUCACCCCACUAAUCAAUAAUACUUCUGCUAGUUGCGACCCAAAUGUUAGCUUGUUUCUGCAUCUGUUGGGGUGUGUGUGACUUGUGUUACAUAUGUGAUUGUGUGUAGCCAGAACUGUCUUUGCUCGGGGUUCAGUUUCUCCCAUGAGUCUCAAGCAGAGUGGGAGUAGAUGGUAGUUGUAUUAGAAAUAAGGCCUCAUGUUGUGCACAGCCUGCCAUUUUACUUGCUACAGCUGCUGAGGUUAAUUUUGAACCGUGUGAUAAUGGAGUGCAAGGCAAUUAAUUAUUUCCCCCUCCCUUUUAACUUAAAAUAACAAGCUUUGACUUAAAGAACACAACACUUCCUUGGUUUUUAAAACAAGAUGAGAUGAAAUAUUGCAAAGUAAAUUAAUGCAGUACAUGGCAGAUGGGGCAAAGCUCUGAGCAAUUGGUGGUGCCUAAACAGUGAGAAGUUGUAAUGUGCAAUGAGCAAGGUUUGGGCAGUUUAAGAUGUUGCAAGGACAGCCAUAUUUUUCCCUUGUCAAUUCCUGGAGAGUAUGGGGAGGAGGCGAUAAGCUAACAAAUUCUCUUGACUUGAAUUUGCUUGCAAAAGUAAUAAUAAUGAACUUUUGUGCACUCUUUAUGAGGCUUUCUUCACCUUUUCCAAUUAUGCAAGUUGAUGGAUUUAGCCGUUUCAGGGGGGCAAAAAGGUGGGAAAGUACUGAAUUUAACAGCCUGAUACUUCAAAUGGAAGGCUAGGGAGGAAUUUCAACUCCCGCUGACAUUUCUAUCAAUCUCGCGUUCUCUGGCCAAUCAGCUAUCUGCACUGCUCAGCCAAUUCCAAGCCAAUGCUAUGGCCAGGUGGUCUUUCCUAGCAACUUCUAGGGCACCCCCAGGCAAAUUGGCUGUCCCCCUUCAGUCUAGCCAAUCAAGGAACAAAGGGUUGCUCCAGAUAAGUGUGUACCAGACCACAGUCUUAAAGGUGCUGGCACUGUGUGUGUGUGUGUGUGUGUGUGUGUAUGUGUGUGCGUGCGUGCGUGCGUGUGCAUACACCCACACACCACAUAUCUAUGAAUGAGAAAAUUCCUGUAUGCAAAGAUUCAGUACUCUAUGGUGAGAAAACCCCAAGAGAGAUUUAAGGUCACAAAAUAUGCAGCAAAGUAAAGCAUGGAAAUAUAGGUUGAUAGGGCUUUACAAUAUGGCCUUCCAAGUGAGUUCCAAAAUUACCCUCUUCACCCAGCAUAGGAAGUUUGGUAAGUUAAGAAAUUGUUUACUUACAAAUUCUCCAAGGGUCACAUUCAUGUGCUUCAGAAAAGCAAUAAAAUACAGCUUUCUAACAAAGUGGUAGAAGUUCCUAGAUCAUUAGUGUAGGAGCUCAAGCAUGGCUGCUGAGAACCAUAGGGCUGAGCUGGAGAAACCAGCUCAGACCUCUUCACACACUGAGUUUCUCAGGUAGACUGGGUUGGAACAUGAAACUUGAUUACCUAUUUCCUUCCAAGGUAAGGGAGCCAAGCCUGACAGGACAGCUUACUCUCUGGCUGUAACCCAUUCAUGCAUUAAUUAGACUUAAGUAUGUUAUCCCACAAAAAGCCUUUGCAGGACUGUUAACAAGAAUCUCCAUAAGCCUUACUGUAUUAAAUGAAAAUAAAACUUCUCUGCCAGUCCGUUUUUCUUCUUGUUGUCUCCUUUCCUACUCGCAACUCCUGUUGACAUACAGUCUCAAAAUUUCAAUUAUUGAGGUCUCCAGGUUGGGAUAGGAAGCCCCAUGUCUGAACCUCUGGAGAGCCGCUGGUAGAAUCUACACACACACAAAAAUGUUCUGCAAAUUCUUUUUAAAAGCAUUUUUAAAAAAUACAUUGAAUUUUCCAUAAGGCUCACCAUCACAUUCACAUUGUAUAUUGCACUUAAAACACACUUAAAACUUUUUAUUGCAGCUGUAUAUCAGUCGUUGGUGGUAAUGGAUGAACAAAUGGUACAACUCAGUAUAAUGCAACUUUCACUACUCUAAAAUAUCCUUUCUCAGAGCCAAGUUUCCUGUUUGAUCUAUGUGACUAAAAAAAUCACAAGGUGCAUGAGCUCAUUCAUUGUUCCUUCUCAGCAAGGAGACUACAGAAACCCGUUGAGGUUGAUCAGCCAUAGAACUCUUGGCAUGGGAGACUCCCCUACAAUCGGCAUUUUGUCAUUUAACUUUAGCACCAUGCCAAAUGAGGGAUUUUAAGAAUGUGCAGUAUUAUGAUUAUGAUUAUUCAAAUCUUCUUCAGGGGUACAAGUGAUCCAGUGGUGGGUAGCCUAAUUGCAUGGCUGAGGCAAUAUUGAUUGCUAUGUUUUAUGGUGCCAAUUAAUCUCAAGCUCUUUUAACCAAUGAGUACGUCAAUAUUUAUGAUUGUAUGUCUUUGCAUUAAACGGGGAGGAUUGUGGGAGCAACCUGAUUAAGCAUCAGCAGUUCUGUGGCUUCUCUACAUUUGUACAUGAUCUCUCUCUCUCUCUCUCUCUCUCUUUCUCUCUCUCAAUAUCAUACACCUAGCCAGAAAAGCUGCCCACGAGGACCUCUUUAUUUGCUGUCAACUUUCUCCCCUUGAUGAGGGAUAAUGUGAGCUCUUUUCUCCUGACCUUUACAGUAAGUAGUCACGUUGACUGCUGAACACUGAUACAUUUGCUCCAUUACCUAGAAAGGUUUUAGCUUAAAGCAUUGCCCUUGCUUCCUCUGCUGAAGAAGGGAAAAGUCUUUUGAAACAAAUGACUGAUCACAUACUCCAACUUAAAGAUUUUUCAGUCUUUGGUCUGAAACACUCUUUCAGUCUCGUCAAGCAAGUAUUUGAAGCCUAUAAUUAAAUGUUGUUUAACAAUAUUCUGUACCUUUGGGAGCUAAAAUUAUUUUAAUAUAUGGGAUUUGUGUGUGUGUGUGUGUGUUUAACUCACAGCGAUAAUUUUGCUUUAAAAAGUAAUAAUAAUCAGGCAUUCUGUUAAGUUCACAGCCAUGCAUUCAAUAUUGCCUCAGCCAAAUGACUGCUAUCCUGAAAACCAGCCCACAUAUAUGUAGAAUCAUCAAAGAAAUAAUAAUAAAGUUUAAAAAAUAAAAAAUAAAUGUAGGAAUAUUUCUCAGGGAGGAAGUCAAAAUCCCCCAUACAUUUAGGAAGUGUGUGGCCUACUUAGCUUGUUUUGAAUUAAAUGCAAAAUAAAAAAAAUAGAUGAGGUAGUUUAAGCCUAAGGGGAGUUCUGAACCACCAUCAUAAUGCUCUUUCCAAUUCCUCCUGAACAUGUGUUGGAAGGAAUGCACUGGAACAGGUUGGCUAUUUAAAUUGAGUAUUUAAAGAGUGUUCUUUUGGUUGCCUCCAAACUGCUGAGAUGCUCUCUUCAUCUUCCCUGCUGGGGCAUCAUAAACUGUGAUAAAGCCAGAACAAUGAAAACAAGAUUAAGUAAUAUUUUUUGGUGGUGGUGGUGGGGCAAGGACAUUACCCCAAAGGGAAGUUGUCAGUGGUCACCUUCCAGUAAUGGAAGGAUCAAGAUCCACAAACAAGAUCGGAAUGCAACAGCAUUAUACUGAUUGCAUAGACCACUUUAAAAACAGGAUGAUGGACUAGAUGGUCCUUUGGUCUGAUCCAGCAGGGCUCUUACCUUAGAAUCAUAAAAUCCUAGAAUAAUAGAGUUAUAAGGGACUACCAGGGUCAUCUAUUCUAACUCCCUGCAAUGCAGGUGUCUUUUUGCCCAAAAUGGGGCUUGAAUACAUGAAUCCAUGAAUUUCAUGUUCUAGUGACUGAGCUUCCCCAGCUUUUCUUAUCCCGCAAGCUGAAAAAGUUGAGAGAGCAGCUUAGAAGGUGCAGGUCAGGCCACAAGGCACACACAGCUCUUUCCUCUACCAUUUUCCCACUGUUCCCCACUGCCUAGCCCCAAAUCGUCAUUUUGAGACAUUCUGUCUCAUUCUUCCUAAUGGUAGGGCUUGAACUGGUCAACUGGCAAAUGAGAAGUUGCCCAAGAGGUAUCAGCAUUAUUGGAGACACCUCAGGAACAGCCUCCCAUUCCUCAGUGGAAAGCACUAGGUGAAAAAAAGUAGUCUAUGCCACUACUGCCAAUAUAAGAAUGCCUUUCAUUGUUGUGGUGGAAGGAAAUUUAAUUUCAGGUGUAUCAAUAAGUUAAAAAAAAUAUCAGGGCAGUAAGUCUGUAUUUAAACACACAAGUUUUUUUUUCUCCCAGGUUUACAAGCUUUAGGAAUAUUUUAACAACACUUCCUUUUUAUCUGAGGUCAAAGCUUAAAUUUGCAACUUCCAAAUCCUCUUGCAUUAGUGGAAAUGCUAAAGAAAAGCUUGCCAAUUGUGGGACCUUUGCUGAACACAGGCAGCUCUGGCUGCAGAUAGUUUUAAGAGUUAAGUGAUAGGACUGUUUGUCUCAGGAUGCAAACUAUAAUGCAGCUAUUAGUGAUAUGAAAUACUAGCUAUUAGUAUAAUCCAGAGGUAGCUGCUUUAAUCUUCUUAGCAAAAGGCCACUGUUAUUCAUUAAGGCCAGAAUGUGGAGAGAAGAUCUAGAUUGUACUUAUAUGAAAUGAUUAAAUAUUCAUUUCAGUUUAUGUAUAUAAAGCUAAAAGAAUGCCCCAUUUUACUCCAUUAUUACCUCUAACCUCCUAAAGCAAUUUUAAAACUAUAUUAUUCGCAGGAUACAUAACUAUAAGUAGAAAAGUUGGUAUAGCACAGUUGAGGUGUGUGAGUAUAGAAGAUUUCUACCCUACAGAGAUGAAGGGGACGCGUUCCCUUCUGGGCAAUUUUCUGGAUAUCACUUGCAUGUGGUGGGAGGGUCAGAUGCAAAAUGGAUGGAGCAACAAAUAUAAAUGCUACCUUUGCUAAAUUAGCUUAGUUUCUACACAUGUCCCUUUCUAUUCUCAAUCCAGGAAGCAAUAUGCAUGAGGAAGACUUCAG